GUUCGACCGGCCUUUUGUAGUGAUACAGAUAUCUAUAUUACCAGCCGAGAGUUUUGUCGAUUGGAUAAAAGAAGAUUAAAUAAAGGGAAAAAAGGACAACGAAGCUACAAGUUAAAAUAAAAAGAAUAGCUGUGUGGAAUGAAACGCUACCUUUAAUCCGUGGGAGAAAAAGGGGCCAUCAUCGAGGGUUGAUUGCAAUGCUUUCGUGGAAACCAUAAACACGCACGCUCCUCCCCAAACAAAUCUGCAAAACCACUUCAACGUUAAAAAAUACCCCGUGAUUGAAAUCAUAGCGUAAAACUAUGAUUUCGUUCAAGCGGAAUAAAAGCGCCCUUUAGACCUUAUCGUUGACGCAACUAACACCGCAAAUGUCAUGGUUUAUUAUUCAUCGCUUUCACGAGUUCAACAUUUUCUAGAGUUAACUUAGUUGUGAUUCGUUACGUAACGCAACAUCCACGCAACGAGCAAUGUUAUGCUCCGAAAUACGAGCGCGAUUAUUGGAGUCUAAUUCGACGGUGUGCGUAUGUGAUGGGAACGUACGCCGUUGAUCACCGGAGGGCCGUAAUUCGAAGGAUAAUAUUAAGAUUGCCUCGGAAUGGAGAAAAAAGGAUAACCGACUAUGCAGAUGUGUGCGUGUAUGCGUGCCUUUAUGUCUGGCGCCGUGAGACUGGAUCAGGGAAGGAUGCGACGAUCGUUGACACCGACAUCGUGUUUCAACGAGAAAUUCGUUUCCUACCUUAGAAAGGAAAAUGGUUGUUACGUGAAACGAGUUUUCCUCGUGCUCUCUUAAUUUCCAAAAUUGCUUAAUUCGCUUUAAUCGCAAGAACGCAUAACGUUCACCGUGGAAGCCGAACGUAUUAUAUAAUUUGCAUAACUUCGUGAGAUUUCAAUUACGCCACAGACAUAUUUCUUGCGAGCACGAUAUUGCGUUAACUGAUGUUUCAUUUGGCGAACAGAUUUCUAACAUUGUGUCGACCUUGUGCCGUAUGAUUAUUUCAAUUAUUUUAUUACGAACCGUAUCAAUCUCGGCCCAUAUAAUGCAUAUAAUCAGAAGGCUAUUAUUCGACGAGCGCACGGCUGGCGGAAAGGACCUUUCUCCUACCUCUGUUCGGCCCCGUAGUCCGUACCAUCUCAACUCGCUCGUUUUCGUGAUAUUGUAAUUUGAAGACCGCAAACUCGCUGACGUCACUGGUGCACUGGAGCAUCUUGCCAGCGUAGCGCACGAUCGACGCUCUUCUUCCUUCUGCCCUUUCUUAUUGCUUCGACAAUUUCGAUGAAAAGCAUAUUAAAGCCUGGCGAAUUAUAGGAAUUUCGGCAGAUUAGAUAUGCGCCGAAUUGAAGGAUUGCGUUACUAAUUCCGGCGAAAACGCCGACGCGCUGCUCGUUGCUCGAAGAUUUAUUUGACCACGAUGCACCACCGGGUUGCAACGAACGAAUAAUCUUAUUAGUUGCGAUGUAGUUGCGUAAGAAAUUUCUAUUCGAAUCGUGUUCGCGUUAAACCGUGUUCUGGAAGACGCAAAUACGAAGAAAGCGAAUCCUAACUUGUUCGAACCGCGAUACUUGGUCAUCGAAUCAGAACCAUUCGGAACAUUCGAUAUUUAUUAGCUUUUUAGUUAGUCGAGAGGUACGAGCAAAUGUAAAUGGCAAAGUUACGAAGCAAACAGCAAAGAAAUGCGAUAAAAUCGAUACUACGGUAAAUAAGCAGCGUUCAAAGUAACAGUCUCUCGAAGAAAGCGGAAAGAUUGAAGAAAGAAAGGGCAUUUAAUAUCUGUUCAAAUAGUACACACCUUACGGGCUGUCAAUUACUCAAAAGCGAUUGCACACCGUAACGUUCGAGCAGUCAGUCGUUUGGUCGCGGUGUUCUCGAAUAUACCGAGUGUUUUUAUUACUAGAAAAAAUAGAAGACGGACCGUAAAUGGAGCGCCGAAUAACAGGGUGCGAGAAAUAAGAACGGAGUUUGCAUUGGUAGAUAAUAAAUGUAGAAAACGAUCGUUUAAUGAGAAACAUGCAGGACUCGUCUUUACGAGGAAAUAACAUCGAAACUAUCGAGCGUGGGCCAAUUAGACGGCGCAUAAAAUUUUCGUUUCGUAUCCCGCUAUAAUACGCGCGCUGCAAUCACCGUUAAAGAUGACUUAAUCGAUGUCUACGUUAAUUGAUAUCCUUACUUAACAUUCCAAGCUAGAAAACUAGGUGCACGAAACUACCAAUUAGCUUUAAAUUCGACGUUCAUAUUCUCGAGUUUGUCGUCUCUUUCGUAUCGGUAUUGGAAACGAGGUAGAGAGAAAAGACAUUUAUAAGAUGAUUUAUGGCAAGAAGCGAGUUACCGUCGACAGGUAUGAUCAUCUCUAUGAUAUAGGAAGGUCGUAAAAUCGGUCAAAUGUCAAACUUUACACGUGCAUGGUAUUUGAACAAGUAAAUUGAUACGUAAUUGGUACGAAACUUUAAUUGUUAGAUCUACCGAGUGCAUUGACGCUUUCUGAACCAUGAUAAUUACAGACAUAAAAUUAUUAAAGCGUAACGAUAAGCAACUGGAAAAUUAUCCCAUUUUGUUUUACGCGGCACGUAUUAUAUGUAUAAAAUGGUAAUUUUACUUUUAACUUGAUUUAGGUUCGAUGCAGAGCCUUUGGUGUACCUAUCAUUGUACACACGAUCGCACACGAUGCUUCAAGAAUCACGCGUAUAAGUGGAUUCAAUAACUCGAUAUUAACCAGCGACUUGGUCCACUUAACGCGAAUAAAAUUGAAAAAAAUGUUGCAGCAAGAUAACGAUGUUGUAAUAACUUGGCAGCAAGUCGGAUAAACGCUAGAAACGGUUCAUUGGCUGCAUUACGAGCUCGUAAAAUACGAUGCUGCUUCCACGUUGCAUCCGCUGUUUCGUGUUUUUACGAGGCAAAUUGAAGAUUAUAGAAUGACCGCUCUCGCUUUUCUCAGCUGUUGCUGCAUCGUUUAGGAGCGUUAUAACUCGCCGUUUCCUUUCUUCCUUUGCAUAACCAUAUUCGGCGCAUGACUGGCCGUAGGAAAAGGAAAAUUACGCAGGAAGAUACGGAGCGAUUAGAAAGAAUUUGUUAGGUAACGAGUCGUCGGCGAUCGUCUAAAAAAUUUUAGAAUCGUGGAAAUACUUUGCCUUCGACGACUUCUUCGCUAAGAAUUAACGUUAUCUUCUAAUUUAGGAUACGUUGCUGUGCUUUUAUGCUUUCGGAGAGGAAGGAAACGCGAAAUAAAAUCGAGAAACAGCGCGUUAAUGUGGAAAUCAUUGGAUUUUUAUCCUACAGAACUUUCAAAUUAUACACGUUCAGGAUGAAACAGAUUAUAAACACUGUAUCGAGAUAGACUAGAAGAACAUCCCUAAUAACUAAUUGCAUAGGGGCGUAAAGAAGCCUUGAUAAUUCUUCGAGCAUGUAGCCACGCAAUUAAGGUGUAACGUUUCGAAGUUCUGGUCGUAAACAACACGGGCAAAGUAGCGGAACCUCCGAGGCUCGGUUCCGCCCGUCAAUUGUUACCAAUUGUUACCAAUCAGAGUAAUACGUGUCAUUAUAGCGAGAAGGUUAGCAGCAAUACGCACAACCAUCGUUCUGUCAUGUACCUACAGAACAGAUUGCCCCGACAACGAUAUUAAUUUGGAUAAUUAUCAACGGGUAAUCGCAUUGGGUUGUUCGCAUUCUACACGCGUGAACUCGAACACAACGAAUACAUUCUACAAUUUCAUUAAUUAUUUUUUUCUCGAUGCUUUGCUCAUCGAAGUAUCACGAACGAUAGCCAAAACGCGUUUAAUAGUUACGCGGUAAACGAGUGUGAUACGUUGCUUCGUCCCGCCAGCAACGUAGAUAUUAUAAUAAUAUCCUACACCUCUGGGAUCAAUCGAUAAGGUGUUAAUAAUAUCUCAAGGCUGUUGAUGCUAUUAAUUAGAACAAACUAUAAAAAUAUUAUCUCGCAUUAUUAUAACGCGCGUAAGUCGUAUACACCUGUUAUUAUAUCUGGACGCGCGCAAUGAUUAAAAUUAAUUAGUGAGACACAGAGAAAAUCCGUUUCUUAACACGCUUUUAACUGUCGCUGUUCAACGGACAAUUUGUUGAAAAUUAAUUAACACAAGGCACACGAUGGUGCAACAGUGAGUUUUACAGCGCAGAAAUCCGGUGUUUCAGUCUGCGAACGUGUUCUCCGCCUAUCGUAGUUGCGAGAUUUUUUAGAUACUUGAACCACUCUCUUGCCGUUGCAUAUUUUCGCAAACUGAUUGCUGCAGAUUUGUUGCAAAUUCGCGCAAACGAUGUCUGCGAUUCUUUUAGGAUAACCGACAUUUUCCAACAUUUGGAUUAAUUAGAGCGACGAUAUUUUACCCUGUAACUUGUUUCACGCUCUGUCAGCUAACUUAUUAAAGAGUAUACAAUACACGUACACACAGUAAGAAAGAAGUAAAAAGAAGAAACAGAAAUUUCUAUAGUUGCGAAAUGCAAAAUUAAUGGAGACAAAUCGAUUUCAAACAGUAACAUUUACAAGUAACGUUAUUCGUGUAAUUUAAUUCGAAUAAAAAAAUGAAAGAACGCAGCAGAUGGUAGAGGAUUGAUAAAAGAAAAGAAAUGAUUUUACCCAAGAGAUGACUCGUCCCGAUGAGUUAAACAGGUUAAAGGAAAGCGACAUAUUUGGCGCUACGUAACAUCUUCGACAUUGGUAGGCAUCGUGCGCGUUCGCGAUGUUACAGUUUUGUUGCUUGUGCAUCGUUCCGCGAGUAUUACGCGAGAAUGAAGAUGAGGCAUCGGUCUUUGAUUUUGCAUAGCUGGAACGAUCCGGUCUGAUUGGAGCACGGGCUGAGCAGUUUUAACCAGUGAACAGCAGCGGAUCAAAAACGAUUCGAAAGUCGCGAUGUAUCGCGCUCCUUGUACAGCUAUAAGAAGAAGAAGUAGUAGUAGAAGAAGAAGAAGAAGAAGAAGAAGAAGAAGAAAACCAACGCGUUCGUGCAUCGCGUGGCAGAAACUGAACCAACCAGUGGCCACGCCUCCUUAGACAGCCGCCAGCCAACAAUUAAGAUUUGAUCGGCAAAAAUGGUCGAGGCAAAAUGGCGCUGGCCACUGAAUACGUAAUGCUCAUGGACGAGACUGGCCGACCUGCUGGCGGAACCGGCACAACACGUGCUUCCUUGCAUCCGGACUGCAGUCAGACUCGCGUUUAUGAUUAGAGGGUAACUCUGUAACUUACAACGACUAUCGUGCCUCGGUACAACCUCUUCUGCGAAGGUAACGUUGUUACAAAAUUUACGCUGCUUAUCGUGUUCGACUACGAUCCCAUGGUUAGCGCCGAUAGCCUCGAAGGUUCCGAAUUUUUUGCCAUCGCUUAUCGUUUGCAUACGACUAUCGCAAACAGGAAAGGAUAAUUGGGUAAAAAUAGUUUUACGGGACAAAGCGUAAAGUUCGCGAGAACCGUGUGCCCCUAUAUGCAGGCAACCGCUAAGGCAUGCGUGCGUGUAAGUACGUAUAGGAAUCGGCUGGAGAAAUAGUCGUACGGCAAAAGUGGAUUGUACGAGGUUGGUAAAUUGCAAUACACGGGAACUAGGAAACGACGUAGAACCUUAGUAAAAUAUUCACGAGAAGAUAGACUCGGAAAGAUACAAUGAUACAGAAAUUGCGGCGUUCUCCGUUAACGUGACACGGCAGCAAACGCGUAGCGCGUGUUGCGACGCCAGGAGUACAUCGUUACGUCGAGUCAUAAAUCAUAUUGAUAGCAAUGUACAACGUUUUCAUCGUUCACACACAUUGCGCGCGGUGGAUGUGUUGGUGAUUAAUGUACUUUGAUAGAUGCGCGUACGAAUAUCCAUCGGUAUAUAACUCUACCUGUCGAUUGGCAAGAUUGGAUCUGCCUUCCGUUCAGUCGGCCUUUCUUUUUAUUUUUUGCCGGCUUGUACGAGUCCAUCGUACACCACCGACAUUCCUUUUUCCCCUUUGGACGAAAGAAGAGUCUCGAGACCGGAUUAAAAUUGCAGGAGCGAUUUCGCGAACUCACGAUAUCGGCGAAAAUGCAGCAGAGGCUCUAAUCAUGGCGGAUACACGCCGCGGUAGCUGCUACCACGUUUUACCCCUUAACUCAAGACUCUCAUUACACUAAUGUCCCACCAAUCACGGACCCUCCGCCGUCUGCACCCCCCCUCCAAACCCUACACUUUUUCUCAAUCGCUCGAAUCAGAAUCAUGCAAACUGUUGCAAAAAUCGAAUAACGUCAGCUCUGGUUGGAACACGCGGCGAACGGCCGGCAUCCGCGACUUAUCAUCGACUUUCGCGCCCGUGCAAACGUCGCGUAGCGAAGAUACCUCGGACGAAAGGUGUCUUUGUUUGACCGCGUUUGCCUGUUUCGUGCGCGAAACACCGGGACAAAACGAUAGGUCGUUGCGUUAAUGAGUCCGUUACGUAUUAAUUUCACGAUUUUACGAUUCCGCAUUGGCCAAAUGAACGGGCGUCUCGCAUAGAACGCGGUCUUUUGCACCGUUCAAACGUUACAACGGCCCAUCGGAGUCUUUAACAGGGUACUUCGCGAAAUAGCCGAAGAAACGCUCUUUAGCAUACCGGCAGGGCCAACCGUUAAGCCGGUCGUUAAGUUUAUGGGGGAGCGCGAGAUGCGAGAGGUUGGCAAUUAGAUGCCUUCUGUGAACACUGUGAUCUUCGCCACGCGAAAGAAAACGACCGUGUGCAAAGCUCCCGAGUCUUUUUAGAAGAUGCAUACUUUGCCCGGUCAGACAAGGAAAUUGAAAUACGAAAAUCGCUUUGCUCGUGCUCUCGCGAGCACCGUGUUCUACCGAUCGCGAGUUUCUUUUUCUUCCGAUUUCACGUUGGUAUACGAGCGGCCGAAAGGAAACCAUAAACGCGCGGAUAGACGAGAGGAGUCCAUCGUCGGAAGAUCUUUGCACGUGUUCGUAUCAACCACUCGCGGUGGAUUUCCUUCGGUAAAGUGAAAUAAACGGAAAACAUCGAGCGUAAUCGAUGUAAUUGCGGAUAGGCUCGUUUACGACUUAGUCGCGGUUGAAACGUUGCUUUCCAUGUCGGACGUGGACAUGAAUUUUUCAUGCGGCCGCCCUUUACUUAUUUUUUACAUACCUACGUGUCACCUGUCCGUGUAAUCUUGAAAAUGACCGGGAUUUGCCGGUCGAUCUCGGAGCGUAUAAAAACGGAAAAAUGUUGCGCUGGCUUUCGGCGAGAUGGUCGACCGGUAGGUCGGCCGCCUUGAUAAAAUAAUUGCUCGCGUCGUUGCAACGAUCUUGCGCAACGAUUACGCGAAUCGGGAAAAAUAAAGAAGAGAAAACGGAGAAAGAAAGAGGCGAGGACGGUUUCUAUCGGCGCGGUGAAAAUGGCGCUGCGAGAGAAGACCAAAGGCAAUACGGCGACUAUGGAAGGGCCCGAGAGCAGCCAACCACUUAUCAUUAGCCGCAUCUUCUACCGAGCAGUCAGGGUAAUUGUUUCCUCCGGUUUAUAGUUUUAUUCCGACUCACCGGCGCGAUGAUAUCUCUCCUCGUUUUAUAUUCCUCCAGGCUAUAUCAAACCAUCAUGGCCGUCUACUUUUCUGCGUCCCUUUCUGCCUUUCUUUCCCUCCACCUCGCUCGCAAUUUCGCUCUUCUUCUCCGUGUAAACGGAUGCUUCUUUCCCUCCACGCGAUCGCGUUUAACCUCAUCCUUCGCUCUACGCUCUACAGUGUAUAUACUUUUGACAAUCUUUCCUCCGCUAAUUACAGAACAAAAGGAAUCCUGGCGCGUUGCGUGCGAUGGAACGAAUCGUCUCGUUCGUGUCGAUAUCGAGGGAUCGGGCAGGCGAGGAUGCACCGUGUGCGUAACGUGCGCGAUUAAGCGAUACAUGCAUCGAGUCGCCCGAGUUUGCAACAUAACCAGCAUGUAGCCGUACUAUGUAGCUUGGCAACUCGGUGCUAGGGACAUGGGACCAUUUUCUCCAGAAGAAGAAAGAAAAAGGGAAUCUCUUUAAUAGCGCGCCAUCUUCGAAAAAGGGGUUGGCUCGGUUCUGAUGGUAGCAUUAACCUCGCCUAGUCGCGCGAUAUGGAAAUAUCCAAGCCACGUAUAAUAACAUGGCAUCGAGCGGUUCUUUCGGUAAACGGCGACGAAGAACUGGACGCAAAGUAUUUUCGUGGAAACCGAGCGAUCGGGUGGUGGCUGCGGCGUACUCGUUUUGCUUGGAAAUUAAGAGUCUCGCGUACGAGGGCGGCGCUGGAAACAGGGCCUAUCGUUUAAGCCGGAUCUCCAUGCGAGAUUACUGCCCCCGGGGGUGGCAGCCACGGCGUCGGUGGAGGUGGUAGUGCUGGUACCGAUAUUGGUAGUUGUAGUAGUUUACUCGAAAGGCGGACCCUUAGGGUUCCCCACCCAUUCAUGAUCUACCACACUGCUGCAUAGAGAAGACUCACUGGAAAAUUCUAACAUCGUCGAUGAUCCUACCAUUUCUUCUUCGAUGUUUCGUCGAUGUGCCUAUACAGUUCGUGUACGUGAAAAUAUUCCAACAUUUGUAGGCAUUUUUUAUACAUAAUACGAAGCAUUCUGAAAUUUCAUUAGAACAGCACCGUAACGAAAUCGAAUGUCCUAGUUGCAUCGUAGUUAUAUCGGUAAAGUUCGAAACAAAUUCGAAAUCGCGCGUAGACGCUACGAGACAUUCGGAAGAGAUCGCGAAAGCAUUUAAACGGUCGAUUAUUCGUUACCUUAACAAGUUUCAAUAUUUUCUUUCAAUGUUAUAGUUUAAAGUGGCUAUUCGUGCCCCGUACUAUCUACCAAAUAUAUAUUUGCAGUAAAUCGUUUGUGUCUUCCACGUUCUAUUUUCAGAUCAAUUCCAAGUUUGACCAAUAUAAUCUGUAUGAAACGGAACGAAUGAAAUUCUAUAAAAAGAAGCAUCGGGUCAAACUUGCCAGACUUUCAAUGACGCAUAAUCCGAUGUCGAUAAUUUUUAAUGUUUCGUAAGUUGUCACCGUAGCGAGAAAAAAUAAAAGGAGCCACUUGAAUUGAAAUAACAGAGUAGAAAAGUAUCGGGUUAUGAAAAUGCCACUUUUUAAGUAUACACGAAGUUCGACGUGUAACUUUGUAUACGUUAGCGAGAGAAUAAUCCUAUAUAUCUUCAAGGUUGUCCUCGAUGACAGGUAUCGGUGGCUUCGGAGCUAAGGUGAUCCUAUUUGUGAAAUUUUAGCCAGUCUGUGUUUGGAAUUCGAAGGUGUCGCGUCGACCGUGUAUUUCGUUUGCAUAGAAGACGAGGGAGUGCUAAGGGAGCACGCGUUCGCGUGAAUACACUGUUAUUCGAAAACGAAUAACGCGUGCUACCCCCUGCAUCCCUAGGGGUGUGUCGGGGGCGUGAUAGUUGCAGCUGCACACUCAUGCUUUGCACGCGUCUUCUAUACCGGACCCGUAUAACGCUCAGAGAAGUGUGAACGAGAAAUAUUUAUUAAUUUGCGUAAUGAGUAGAAUUUUAUAUGGAUACGACGUAGUUUGUGCGGGAAUUCGAGAUUUCUCUUUGGUUCGUGGCAGAGGAGACUGUUUGCCUGAUUUUACCAACUGUAUUCGAGGUACGAUCGAUUUUCGCGUGUUGUUACUUUGAUCGAUCUAUUGGGUUGGCAACUAAGUGAUUGCGGAUUUUGUCAUUAGAUGGUAAUGACAAACCCAAUACAUUAACCGUACGCGAAUGUUACUGAAACGAACGAAUUAAUACCAGCGAUCAAAGCUAACGAUCGAAAGCGUUAAUUGCCGCUUUCUCGUAAAUUUCUUUCAGACGACGAUCAUUUUCCUAUACAGUAGCAUUUAAUAAUAAAUUUCGCCGAGGCAUAGGUCUGUGUUCGCGUGUAUUUUAUAUUAUUAGUGUAUUUACCGAUGUAUUUUAUAUUAAAGAGUGUAACUCGUUGAUCAAACAAGUAAAUAAAUAAAUAAUCUACGAUAAAA